rnacentral:rRNA from 1 species
CCUACGGGAGGCUGCAGUGGGGAAUAUUGGGCAAUGGAGGCAACUCUGACCCAGCAACGCCGCGUGAAUGAUGAAGGUCUUCUGAUUGUAAAGUUCUGUGAUGGGGGAUGAACACCAUGACGGUACCCCAAUAGCAAGCCACGGCUAACUACGUGCCAGGAGCCGCGGCAAUACGUAGGUGGCAAGCGUUAUCCGGAAUGACUGGGCGUAAGGGGUGCGUAGGUGGUUUAGUAAGUUGGCGGUGUAAUUCCGGGGCUCACCCUCGGCGCUACCGCCAAAACUAUUAGACUAGAGUGCAGGAGGGGUAGGUGGAAUGCCUAGUGUAGCGGUGGAAUGCGUAGAUAUUAGGAGGAACAUCAGGGGCGAAGGCGACUUACUGGACUGUAACUGACACUGAGGCACGAAAGCGUGGGGAGCAAACAGGAUUAGAUACCCGAGUAGUC